UUCUAAACAAGUUCGCCGUGAAAAGAUUAAAGUCCAGGUUACGUAACCUUCGAUAAAACAUAUUUGAAUCAGCAUCUUACAUGCGCGAAACCGAGAAAAACAAGUUGCUCGUGAGUAAGGUGAGUGAAUCCCGGAAGUAAAGGCUCUUGACCGUGCCUGGCCUUCCAUCUUCCAUAAGCGACAACAGCCUCUCUGAGACCUCCAUUAUCGGCUAUAUUUUCGCCCAAUGUACGUUCACCAUCUAUAUAAUCUUCUACCUCUUCAUAAUAGGUGUUGUAAUGAUGUAUAAAACAGUCAGUUUUUUCAGUGUAUUUUACAAUAGUUUCAUUGGUCCACCAUUGCCUCACGUUCCCAUUGCUAUCGUAGUGUCUUCCACUGUUGUCGAAUCCGUGAGUUAACUCGUGACCGAGCACUGUUCCGAUGGCACCGUAAUUCAGAGAUCUGAAAUCAAGAAAUCCAUUUAGGAAAACUAACUAUUAAUAAUUAUCUCUCACGAUGAUAAUAUUGUUCUUACUCGAGACCCAGUUCAUAAAAGGGGAAUUGAAGAAUUCCCGCCGGUAUAGCUGCAUGCGUAUUAGAAAAGCGAUAUAAAUAUAAUUAAACGUUAGAUAAGUUAAGCUAUAAUGAUCUGAGGAAUUACGUACUUAUAUGAUUAAAUUGAUAGGUAUGAAAUGCAUUUACAUCUGUCGGAUCAGUCGCCCAGCUAAAAAAUAAAAAAAGUAGAGAUUAUUCCACAAAAUUGUUCUACGUGCUUACUUCAUGAUGUUCAUUUGUGUAAUAAAAUAAAAUUCAUACUACGACAUGUUGU
rnacentral:misc_RNA from 1 species